rnacentral:rRNA from 1 species
UACGAGGGGGGCUAGCGUUGCUCGGAAUCACUGGGCGUAAAGGGCGCGUAGGCGGCCGAUCAAGUCAGAGGUGAAAGCCCGGGGCUUAACCCUGGAAUUGCCUUUGAUACUGUUUGGCUCGAGACCGGAAGAGGUAAGUGGAGCUGCGAGUGUAGAGGUGAAAUUCGUAGAUAUUCGCAAGAACACCAGUGGCGAAGGCGGCUUACUGGUCCGGUUCUGACGCUGAGGCGCGAAAGCGUGGGGAGCAAACAGG